GACGAACCGUCCUAACGUUGUUCGGAAUCACUGGGCUUAAAGGGCGCGUAGGCGGGCUCUCAAGUCCGGGGUGAAAUCUUUCGGCUCAACCGGAAAAUAGCCUUGGAUACUGGGAGUCUCGAGCGAGGUAGGGGCGGGUGGAACUUCCGGUGGAGCGGUGAAAUGCGUUGAUAUCGGAAGGAACGCCGGUGGCGAAAGCGACGUGCUGGACCACUACUGACGCUGAGGCACGAAGGCCAGGGGAGCAAACGGG
rnacentral:rRNA from 1 species